GGGAUGCAACACGAGGACUUCCCAGGAGGUCACCCAUCCUAGUACUACUCUCGCCCAAGCACACUUAACUGCGGAGUUCUGAUGGGAUCCGGUGCAUUAGUGCUGGUAUGAUCGCACCC
rnacentral:rRNA from 1 species